GGCGCGGGGCGCCGGGAGGGAGCCGCGCAGGGCCGGGGCUCCCACGCUUGAGGUCCCGAGGGACCUGGGGCCAAGGGCGCUGUGAGGGAUGUGGGCUGGCGGAGGUUGGGGAGGGGGGGCUCGGGCCUCUGCUCUCCUCGUCAGCAACCCCGACCGCCGGGGGAGGGGCAGUGUGCUUUGCCAGGUGCGUCGCCCCGUCAGUACAAAAUCUCUGAGCCAUGGAAGAACUCCACUCGGAGGGAGUCGCGAUAAAUCAGAGCAUCAGCCCUUUCCGCUUGGACACCAAUAAGUCCUGCACUUCAAAAUUGCUGACCUAAAAAGGAUGCUCGAGAAGGAGCAAGUUUUUUUUUUUUUCCUUGUAAAGAAAGCAACACCAGAAGCAGUGUGACUUCCUUGUUCACUUAGAUGCAUGCAAAAAAGAAAAGGUCACUGUCUUUGCUUCAGGACCUUCUUCCUUCCACCCUCACAGCAUGAGCCUGUGUACUGCCUGCUGAGGAACAUCCUACUGAGAAGAACCUCCAGAUCGUUCUGUGAGAUGGUAGCAGAAAGGAACCAAGGUGAAAAGAGGGGUGGUGUGGGGAACUUCCCUGGCGAUCCAGUGGUUAAGACUCUUCUUCCACUGCAACAGGUGUGGGUUUGAUCCCUGGUUGACUGAAUGGCGUGGCCAAAAAGCAAAAAUAAAAAAAAGAUGGUGUGAGAUUCCCUCAACCUUUGACUUGGCUU